rnacentral:rRNA from 1 species
AUGUUCUCCCGCCCCAUCCUCAUCCUCCUAGGCGAGUCCCCCAAGAUCGCCCGCCGCGCGGCCAUCUAUGUGUACGGCCUCAUCCCGGAGAUCUUCACCUACGCCACCAACUUCCCCAUCCAGAAAUUCUUGCAGGCGCAGAGCAUCAUAGCGCCAAGCGCCUACUCCUUCCGUUCCGAAUUACUUGUCGCGGGUAUAGAUGUAUCUAGAUGUAUUUUAGUUCUAGGUACAUCCAUUUCUGCGACGAGUAAUUUGGAACGGAGGGAGUACAUCUCAGCAGCCACGCUCAUCGUCCACCUCGUCCUCAGCUACCUCGUCGUCUACAAGUUCGGGCUGGGCCUUCUGGGCGCCUCGUUCAUGCUCAGCGUCAGCUGGUGGAUCACCGUCAUUGGGCAGUUCGUCUACAUCAUCACGAGCAGCCGGUGCCGCUGCCGCCUCACGUGGACUGGAUUCUCCCUGCAGGCAUUCUCCGGUCUGCCUGAAUUUUUGAAGCUGUCCAUUGCCUCUGCUGUCAUGCUCUGCCUUGGGACUUGGUACUUUUAG